rnacentral:rRNA from 1 species
UACGUAGGGCGCGAGCGUUGUCCGGAUUUAUUGGGCGUAAAGAGCUCGUAGGCGGCUUGUCGCGUCGACUGUGAAAUCCCGCGGCUCAACUGCGGGUCUGCAGCCGAUACGGGCAGGCUAGAGUUCGGUAGGGGAGAAUGGAAUUCCUGGUGUAGCGGUGGAAUGCGCAGAUAUCAGGAGGAACACCGAUGGCGAAGGCAGGUCUCUGGGCCACUACUGACGCUGAGAAGCGAAAGCAUGGGGAGCGAACAGG